rnacentral:rRNA from 1 species
CAGCCGCCGCGGUAAUACGAAGGGUGCAAGCGUUAAUCGGAAUUACUGGGCGUAAAGCGUGCGUAGGCGGUGAGUUAAGUCUGCUGUGAAAUCCCCGGGCUCAACCUGGGAAUGGCAGUGGAUACUGGCUCGCUAGAGUGUGUCAGAGGAUGGUGGAAUUCCCGGUGUAGCGGUGAAAUGCGUAGAGAUCGGGAGGAACAUCAGUGGCGAAGACGGCCAUCUGGGACAACACUGACGCUGAGGCACGAAAGCGUGGGGAGCAAACAGGAUUAGAUACCCCUGUAGUCCCUGUCUCUUAUAC